UAUAUAUAUAUAUAUAUAUAUAUAUAUAUAUAUAGAGAGAGAGAGAUAGAGAAUGUUACAAGGAAGUAAUCUAAAACUUCGUAAAUUUGUAGUACAUGUUUAAUGAGAGAAGUACAAAAUAUCUGAUAAGCGUAGAUCCAAAAAUUAAUCCUAUUUAUUUGAUAUACCGUACUUUUUAUUUAACAUUUAAAUCGAACGUUUAAAUCGAACCCUCGAUAGAAUAGAUAGAAUAAACGUGUCCAAUAAAAUAAUCUCCUCCAUCAUCUGAUUUGAAUUCAACGAAUUUUUUUUUAUGAAUACACAUAGAGAGAAAUCUACCUAUUGUGGACACACGUACAAAUCAAUAAAUAAUGCAUGUCGUGCAAUAUCGGCUACAGAAGGAAUAAAUAGAGAAUUAUGUAUUAUCCACAGAUGGCAGUUAUACAGUGACUACGAAAGGAUUUGAUUUGAAAUAUAAAAGCUGAUAGGAAAACGGUUCAUUGGAAAAUAUGGACACGC